ACACCUCAACUCUCAUGGCUUGCCGUGAUGAGCUUGGACUUUGGGGGUCUUGUUGGCCUGUGAGCCAGCUCCUCUUAAAUGAAUUAGCUUGCCGGUGUUUGGUGGCAUCACAGGUGUGAUAACUAUCUACGCUUGUGGUUUCCCAUCAGAUAACCUUCAGUGAUGGAGGUUCACUGGGGCUUAUAAAUUUCUCUCCUCGGUGAGGACAGAUUUUGACU
rnacentral:misc_RNA from 1 species